ensembl:miRNA
CAGUGCUGGGGUCUCAGGAGGCAGCGCUCUCAGGACAUCCCCACCAUGGUCUGGACUCUGCUCCUCCUCACCCUCCUCACUCAGGACACAGAUGAU